rnacentral:lncRNA from 1 species
AGAAACCCAUGCAUGAUGCCCAAGCCCUGACCAAUGAGUGACAAGAAAAUAUUAAUACAACCCAACCAGGCAACAUGUCAACACCCUCAUGCUUCUGAAGCAAGAAAAAUGAUGGGGACUAGGAGAAGACAACGGUGACAACAUCUGAGAGGGCUUAGGGAUGUCUGUGUUGUAGCAGAACAUUUCAAGUUCACGGAAAGAGCCUUCUAAUGGCUCUGCUUAGGGAAAGGACAAUGUCAUGUUAAGACAAAGCUCUGGGAAUAAUAUGAAGUCACUGCAUAUUUGCCUUUUAUUGAAGAGAAGCAGGUGAG